CUACGGGUGGCUGCAGUGAGGAAUAUUGGUCAAUGGGCGCGAGCCUGAACCAGCCAUCCCGCGUGCAGGAUGACGGCCCUAUGGGUUGUAAACUGCUUUUCUAUGCCAAGAAACCUGAUUACGUGUAAUCAGUUGCCGGUAGCAUAGGAAUAAGCAUCGGCUAACUCCGUGCCAGCAGCCGCGGUAAUACGGAGGAUGCAAGCGUUAUCCGGAUUCAUUGGGUUUAAAGGGUGCGCAGGUGGGCUUGUAAGUCAGUGGUGAAAUGCUGCCGCUUAACGGUAGAACUGCCAUUGAUACUGCGAGUCUGGAGUAUGGUUGAGGUAGGCGGAAUGUGUUGUGUAGCGGUGAAAUGCAUAGAUAUGACACAGAACGCCAAUUGUGAAGGCAGCUUACUAAGCCAUUACUGACGCUGAGGCACGAAAGCGUGGGGAGCGAACAGGAUUAGAUACCCGAGUAGUC
rnacentral:rRNA from 1 species